GACAGAGGUUGCAAACGUUGUUCGGAAUCACUGGGCAUAAAGGGCGCGUAGGCGGCUUUUCAAGUCAGGGGUGAAAUCCGGCAGCUCAACUGUCGAAGUGCCCUUGAUACUGAUGAGCUCGAGGGAGGUAGGGGUCUGUGGAACUUCCGGUGGAGCGGUGAAAUGCGUUGAUAUCGGAAGGAACGCCGGUGGCGAAAGCGACGGACUGGACCUCUUCUGACGCUGAGGCGCGAAAGCCAGGGGAGCAAACGGG
rnacentral:rRNA from 1 species